GGGUAGCUCAGUUGGUUGGAGCGUGGAACUGAUAAAUGCCAAGGUUGCAGGUUUGAUCCCCGUAAGGAACA